UACGUAGGGUGCAAGCGUUGUCCGGAAUUAUUGGGCGUAAAGAGCUCGUAGGCGGUGUGUCGCGUCGGCCGUGAAAACCUGCAGCUUAACUGUGGGCUUGCGGUCGAUACGGGCAUCACUGGAGUUCGGCAGGGGAGACUGGAAUUCCUGGUGUAGCGGUGAAAUGCGCAGAUAUCAGGAGGAACACCGGUGGCGAAGGCGGGUCUCUGGGCCGAUACUGACGCUGAGGAGCGAAAGCAUGGGGAGCGAACAGG
rnacentral:rRNA from 1 species